AGCGAACGCUGGCGGCAGGCCUAACACAUGCAAGUCGAGCGCCCCGCAAGGGGAGCGGCAGACGGGAGAGUAACACGUGGGAACGUACCCUUCGGUUAGGAACAACCCAGGGAAACUUGGGCUAAUACCGGAUACGUCCGAAAGGAGAAAGAUUCAUCGCCGAGGGAUCGGCCCGCGUCUGAUUAGCUAGUUGGUGGGGUAACGGCCCACCAAGGCGACGAUCAGUAGCUGGUCUGAGAGGAUGAUCAGCCUCACUGGGACUGAGACACGGCCCAGACUCCUACGGGAGGCAGCAGUGGGGAAUAUUGGACAAUGGGCGCAAGCCUGAUCCAGCCAUGCCGCGUGGGUGAUGAAGGCCCUAGGGUUGCAAAGCCCUUUCGGCGGGGAAGAUAAUGACGGUACCCGCAGAAGAAGCCCCGGCUAACUUCGUGCCAGCAGCCGCGGUAACAC
rnacentral:rRNA from 1 species